rnacentral:rRNA from 1 species
CCCUUAGAUGUUCUGGGCUGCACGCGUGCUACACUGAUUACUUCAACAAGUGUUUUAACUGGAGAGUUUGCGUAAUCCUGAAAUGUUAUCGUGAUGGGAGUAGAGUAUUGUAUUUGUUAAUCCUUAACGAGGAAUUCCUAGUAAGUGUAGGUUUAUAAGUUGUUCUGAUUACGUCCCUGCCCUUUGUACACACCGCCCGUCGCUCCUACCGAUUGAUUGAUCCGGUGAAUUACAUAGAAUUUUGCGUUUUACAUGACGGAAGAUGAAGUGUUUUAAACCUUAUCAUUUAGAGGAAGGAGAAGUCGUAACA